rnacentral:rRNA from 1 species
AGAGUUUGAUCAUGGCUCAGGAUGAACGCUAGCGGCAGGCUUAAUACAUGCAAGUCGUGGGGCAGCAGGUCUGUAGCAAUACAGAUGCUGGCGACCGGCAAACGGGUGCGGAACACGUACGCAACCUUCCUUCAAGUGGGGAAUAGCCCGGCGAAAGCCGGAUUAAUACCCCGUAAUAUAAUGAGGCGGCAUCACCUUAUUAUUAUAGCAGCAAUGCGCUUGAUGAUGGGCGUGCGCCUGAUUAGGUAGUUGGCGGGGUAACGGCCCACCAAGCCUACGAUCAGUAACUGGUGUGAGAGCACGACCAGUCACACGGGCACUGAGACACGGGCCCGACUCCUACGGGAGGCAGCAGUAAGGAAUAUUGGUCAAUGGACGAAAGUCUGAACCAGCCAUGCCGCGUGGAGGAUGAAGGUCCUCUGGAUUGUAAACUUCUUUUAUCUGAGAAGAAACCCAGGAAUUCUUUCCUGGCUGACGGUACCAGAUGAAUAAGCACCGGCUAACUCCGUGCCAGCAGCGGCGGUAAUAC